UACGAAGGGGGCUAGCGUUGCUCGGAAUCACUGGGCGUAAAGGGUGCGUAGGUGGCAUGGUAAGUUUGAUGUGAAAGCUCAGGGCUCAACCCUGAAAUGGCAUUGAAUACUACUGUGCUGGAGGUUUGGAGGGGGGACUGGAAUUCUUGGUGUAGCAGUGAAAUGCGUAGAUAUCAAGAGGAACACCAGUGGCGAAGGCGAGUCCCUGGACAACACCUGACACUGAGGCACGAAAGCUAGGGGAGCAAACAGG
rnacentral:rRNA from 1 species